rnacentral:rRNA from 1 species
GGGCUGUGUUUAUUAGAUACAAAACCAACCCACUUUGUGAAGUCUGGGGUGAUUCAUAGUAACCGAACGCGAUCGCCAGUUGGCUUCGGCCCGCGAUAUAUCUUUCAAGUUUCUGACCUAUCAGCUUUCGACGGUAGGGUAUUGGCCUACCGUGGCAGUGACGGGUAACGGGGAAUUAGGGUUCGAUUCCGGAGAGGGAGCCCUGAGAAACGGCUACCACAUCUAAGGAAGGCAGCAGGCGCGCAAAUUACCCAAUGAAAACAGCCUUCGAGGUAGUGACGAGAAAUAACAAUACAGGGCAUUUUUUGUUCUGUAAUUGGAAUGAUGGGAAUGUAAAACCCUUUCAGAUUAACAAUUGGAGGGCAAGUCUGGUGCCAGCAGCCGCGGUAAUUCCAGCUCCAAUAGUGUAUAUUAGAGUUGUUGCAGUUAAAAAGCUCGUAGUUGGAUUUCUGUCGUGGUCAUCCGGUUCCGCCCGUACGGGUGUGCGCCUGGUUUGCCCUCGGCUUUCUUCCGUUAGCCUUCGGCGCUUCAUUGCGUCUGUUGGUGUUUCGGAACUUUUACUUUGAGAAAAAUAGAGUGUUUCAAGCAGGCUUGUCGCCCUGAAUACUUCAGCAUGGAAUAAUAAGAUAGGACCUUGGUUCUAUUUUGUUGGUUUCUAGGACUAAGGUAAUGAUUAAUAGGGACAGUUGGGGGCAUUCGUAUUUAACUGUCAGAGGUGAAAUUCUUAGAUUUGUUAAAGACGAACUACUGCGAAAGCAUUUGCCAAGGAUGUUUUCAUUAAUCAAGAACGACAGUAGGGGGUUUGAAGACGAUUAGAUACCGUCGUAAUCUCUACCAUAAACUAU